rnacentral:rRNA from 1 species
GCACAAGCGGUGGAGUAUGUGGUUUAAUUCGACGCAACGCGCAGAACCUUACCUAGACUUGACAUCCCGGGGAUUUUCUGGAAACAGAGAAGUGCUUUAGCAAUAAAGAACCCGGUGACAGGUGCUGCAUGGCUGUCGUCAGCUCGUGUCGUGAGAUGUUGGGUUAAGUCCCGCAACGAGCGCAACCCUCGCCUUUAGUUGCCAGCAUUCAGUUGGGCACUCUAGAGGGACUGCCGGUGUCAAACCGGAGGAAGGUGGGAUGACGUCAAGUCCUCAUGGCCUUUAUGUCUAGGGCUACACACGUACUACAAUGGCCGGUACAAAGGGCAGCCACUCAGCGAUGAGGCGCUAAUCCCAUAAAGCCGGUCUCAGUCCGGAUCGCAGUCUGCAACUCGACUGCGUGAAGUUGGAAUCGCUAGUAAUCGUAGAUCAGCAUGCUACGGUGAAUACGUUCCCGGGCCUU